rnacentral:rRNA from 1 species
UACGUAGGUGGCAAGCGUUGUCCGGAAUUAUUGGGCGUAAAGUGUGCGCAGGCGGCAGAGCAAGUCGGGUGUGAAAGCCCCGGGCUUAACUUGGGAAUUGCGCUCGAAACUACUUUGCUGGAGUGUGGCAGAGGAAGGUGGAAUUCCACGUGUAGCGGUGAAAUGCGUAGAGAUGUGGAGGAACACCAAUGGCGAAGGCAGCCUUCUGGGCCAACACUGACGCUCAUGCACGAAAGCGUGGGGAGCAAACAGG